rnacentral:lncRNA from 1 species
UCCUUCUGCCAACCAGAGGGCUCAUCUGGAGGGGCUGGCUUUGGUCGUCGACCAGGGACAGAAAUCUUUGUGGAGGCGACUACACCCGAUUUUAAAGCUUUCAUUCUGGAAUCCAAUAGAAGUCAAAUCAAUGACUGAGGGGGAAAAACCUAGGGAUUCAGUCCUAGGUGUGCCCGUGUGGAUGAGUCGGUGCGGUGUGUCUGACUUGCUCCAGAAUAAGCCUCCAUGGGUUCCCAUGGCAGUGGACACGUUUGGUAAAGUUGUAAGGUAGGUUGGUCUGCAUUCUUUUACAAGGGCUU